UACCAGCACCCCGAGUGGUCGGGGCGUUUAUUGGGCCUAAAACAUCCGUAGCCGGUUCUACAAGUCUUCCGUUAAAUCCACCUGCUUAACAGAUGGGCUGCGGAAGAUACUAUAGAGCUAGGAGGCGGGAGAGGCAAGCGGUACUCGAUGGGUAGGGGUAAAAUCCGUUGAUCCAUUGAAGACCACCAGUGGCGAAGGCGGCUUGCCAGAACGCGCUCGACGGUGAGGGAUGAAAGCUGGGGGAGCAAACCGG
rnacentral:rRNA from 1 species